GAUGAACGCUAGCGGGAGGCCUAACACAUGCAAGCCGAGCGGUAUUGUUUCUUCGGAAAUGAGAGAGCGGCGUACGGGUGCGUAACACGUGUGCAACCUGCCUUUAUCUGGGGGAUAGCCUUUCGAAAGGAAGAUUAAUACUCCAUAAUAUAUUGAACGGCAUCGUUUAAUAUUGAAAGCUCCGGCGGAUAGAGAUGGGAACGCGCAAGAUUAGCUAGUUGGUGAGGUAACGGCUCACCAAGGCGAUGAUCUUUAGGGGGCCUGAGAGGGUGAUCCCCCACACUGGUACUGAGACACGGACCAGACUCCUACGGGAGGCAGCAGUGAGGAAUAUUGGUCAAUGGGGGCAAGCCUGAACCAGCCAUCCCGCGUGAAGGACGACUGCCCUAUGGGUUGUAAACUUCUUUUGUAUAGGGAUAAACCUACCCUCGUGAGGGUAGCUGAAGGUACUAUACGAAUAAGCACCGGCUAACUCCGUGCCAGCAGCCGCCGUAA
rnacentral:rRNA from 1 species